GCCGUACCUUCCACAUGGGCCUGGUGCUGCCUGUGUGGCACCAUGGGGACAAGGCUGUGCCUUUGCCCUCCAAAGCCUGGCCUAAUCUCUGGUACUGGCAAUUUGCUUAAAUGCUGAUGAUAAGGUUUAAAUGACCUCUCAUACCAUUCCCAGCCUGUGCUCAUCAUCAAAUAGGAUGGAGUUGAUGGUCGAUGGCCUGGGGACGCUGUGGGGCCCCAAAGGGUGAUCUCCUCCCCCCUGGGCUUGCACAAGGCAGGUGCUUCCCCCUCAGCUUUCCCUGGAAGUGACGGUGACACACAGACGAGUUUCACAGUCACCCUCCUGGACCCCAGCUCUGUGGGUGAAGGGAAAUCUGUGGGGUCAGGUGCUCCAGCAGGUUUUCAGGUUUCCCUGAGCCCUCUUCCCUCCCCGUGGGGCAGUCCCUGCAGGAGCCCAGAGGCAGUGGGCACCCCUGGGGAUGCCAUGGCUGAUGGACGCGGCCUGUGUGGGUGAAGGGCUGUACAGGGUGGCUGUUCUCCAGGAGAGGCAGUGAGGCACUGUGCCCUGGGUUUUAGACUGCUUUUUUCCCUGUGAUUCCCUUGGUACCCUUGGAUGGGGUCGUCCUCCACCUGCUUUGGCCUUUAUCAGCACAGGGGUUGGCAUGAAAACACUUUUGAACACACAGCCACUUGAAGGCCCAGGCCUAUCAGCCAUGGCAGCAGAGUAGCCUGUGCCUGGCUGGGCUGAAGGAGCAGCACAAAGUGCUCGUGCUGGCCUCGGGAUCCCCAGGAAGGAUGUUUGAGGCUGGCCACCAUGCCUGGGCAAGGUGCUGGCCCCAGGCUGAGUUCAAACCUGGAAGCGCUGGAGGCAUGUGGAGAGGAGGAGAAAGAAAAACACUGACCACCCCAGCAUGCUGUCAGGCAGAAAAAAAUAUCAGUCCAACCCUAAAGAAAGGAAAUCAAAGCUAAAUAGAUGACAAGCCACCUUUCUAGUUGAAGGACCUUCAAGCAAUGAAAAUGUAAAGCAAAAGAGAGUUUUGUGUUGAUCAUAUUCAACUCAUUUUGCUGGACCAGCAAAGAC
rnacentral:lncRNA from 1 species